AGAGUUUGAUCCUGGCUCAGGAUGAACGCUGGCGGCGUGCCUAAUACAUGCAAGUCGAGCGAACAGACGAGGAGCUUGCUCCUCUGACGUUAGCGGCGGACGGGUGAGUAACACGUGGAUAACCUACCUAUAAGACUGGGAUAACUUCGGGAAACCGGAGCUAAUACCGGAUAAUAUAUUGAACCGCAUGGUUCAAUAGUGAAAGACGGUUUUGCUGUCACUUAUAGAUGGAUCCGCGCCGCAUUAGCUAGUUGGUAAGGUAACGGCUUACCAAGGCAACGAUGCGUAGCCGACCUGAGAGGGUGAUCGGCCACACUGGAACUGAGACACGGUCCAGACUUCUACGGGAGGCAGCAGUAGGGAAUCUUCCGCAAUGGGCGAAAGCCUGACGGAGCAACGCCGCGUGAGUGAUGAAGGUCUUCGGAUCGUAAAACUCUGUUAUUAGGGAAGAACAAAUGUGUAAGUAACUAUGCACGUCUUGACGGUACCUAAUCAGAAAGCCACGGCUAACUACGUGCCAGCAGCCGCGGUAAUACGUAGGUGGCAAGCGUUAUCCGGAAUUAUUGGGCGUAAAGCGCGCGUAGGCGGUUUUUUAAGUCUGAUGUGAAAGCCCACGGCUCAACCGUGGAGGGUCAUUGGAAACUGGAAAACUUGAGUGCAGAAGAGGAAAGUGGAAUUCCAUGUGUAGCGGUGAAAUGCGCAGAGAUAUGGAGGAACACCAGUGGCGAAGGCGACUUUCUGGUCUGUAACUGACGCUGAUGUGCGAAAGCGUGGGGAUCAAACAGGAUUAGAUACCCUGGUAGUCCACGCCGUAAACGAUGAG
rnacentral:rRNA from 1 species